AGAGAGCCCCCUGCACACACAGUCAGUCUCUGCUUGCAGCUGCAGGAAAAACUACAGCAAGUGGGGUGGGGGGGAAGAGAGGAUGAAGGCCCUGAGGAAAACGUCGAUGCAGAGAGGCAAACUUAAGAAUCGCAUCAGCCACAGAAUAUUUUGUUUGUCCAGACACACAAGCCUCGAUAUCUUCUGGGCUUAGCUGAGUCUGUAAGAAGAGGUGAAGCCUACUGUCCGAAAGCAAUAACGCGUUUUGUAGGAUCCUUUAAAAAGAAAGAAAGAAAAACAAAUGUUUAUAUUAUAUUCAACUGUUUUACCAGAACAAUCUCUCAAUGUUGUCAUGUUUUCAAAUGCUUUAAAUUAAUCCCAAGUCAGUACUGGACAUACUAAAAUGACUGGGUAUAUGCUACUUUCUUAUUAUAUUAUUUGGAAUUUUAGGUGAGUAAAAACAUGAAGCAAAUAGUUAAAAACAUCUGUUAUAAGAAUAACUUCAAGGACAUUUCUUCCAUUUAACCAUCUGUUAUUACCAUGUGGAUCAAUUAAUGCUUUUAAAGGAGUGUGAAAUCAUAUACACUUUGGAAAUGUUGAUGUCUACUCAAGAACUGUUUCUGUAUUAUGAAAAUAUUAAAAUGUUCUAACAUUAUAAUUCACCCAUUUCUUUUGAGGGAGUUGAAGAAGAUGGAGUAGUUUAGAAACAUGAAAUGUCUGGACUUUGAAAUACCUAUGAGUAGUAGAAUGUUUUUGAAUCUCAGCCAAAGUAUUUUACACUUCUACAAAUUUUUAUAUAAAAGUAGAAUAAAAAUGCCAUUGAGCCACAUUGACAAAUGUGAUGGUAAAAUGUUUUCAGGAAGCUCAGACAAAACCCCUCAUCUUAGCCUUUUUAUUUAUAAAAAUAAGUGGUCAAAUACACUCAGCAUAAACUAUUUUAUUUCAUGAAUAGUGUGUAAUCAGAGUACAAUAUUCAAGAAAUACGGAAAGUCAGAGUCAGUUUACUCUGGAAGGAUUGAAAUCUGAGCAUCAUUGUUGCUACUCUGAAUAUGCAGUACUACUGCAAUAUUUUAAGAAAGAGGGAACCGUACAAUAUGCCUAAUCUAACAUGAUUAGCAGGAGACAAUAAGGGCCAGAUUCUGUCAAAUGUUUUGAGUGUGUAUAACUUUACUGAUGUGACUAGUCCUAUUGAAUCUAAUGGAAAUGCUCAACAUUAGCAAAAAUUUACUUUGCUAAUGAUUAAUGUUGAAUACAAAAAUUACUAAAAUAUUUCAAAGCAAGAUUAAGAUAUUAAGGGACAACAUUUUCCUACUUACUAAUAUUUAGAUUACCUUUAUUUAUGAAUAUGCUUCCCUUUAAUUAUUAGAUUUACCACUGUACAAUGGGAUACAAGCGAUAACAUUAACAUAAGAAUGGAUGAAGACCAAAAAAAGCCCCAAACCAAGUGUAUUAUAAAAAUACUCCAAUUAAAAUAAAAUUAUUAUAGACUGGUUAUUCGUAUUUCACAAGACUAGACACAUGCUUGAACUGUAACAUUUUAAGAUAUAAGUACACUAAAACUAUUGUCUAUUAUAGAAAACAUUCCAAUAGUAUUUAAUGUAAAAAGGUUUAAAAGAUUUCUGGCUUUCAGUUAGAGCCUAUAAAAUUGCAAAGCAAAAUACAUGAGCAGAAACAUAAUUGUAAAUUUGGGAUAUAACCAUGUGUAGUAAGUGCUUGUACACAUACACAAAAUAAUUCAACUUAAAAAUUUACAGUGAUGAAAAAUGUGGCUAUAAUUUUCUCCUAUACUUGAUGUGAGAUUCUAUUUAAGAUGGUAGAGUUCUAAUAGUGACUAGCUUCAGCUAUGUGCUAAGAUAAAAUCAUUUUUAAAACUCUGAUAACAGCCAGCUUUUUACUCCUAUAACCCCCUCCUAAUUUACUUAAAAAUAACCACCAAUCAUAAUUUAUCUUCUUAACAUUCAUGCCUACAACAUAUUAAUGCACAAUAUGUUUAAAAUAACUUCUCAGUGUCCCCAAAGAAGCCAUGCAGUAGCAUGCAACAACACAGAACUUAAACCCACACCUCCCUUCUUUCUCAACAACAGCAGCUUCAUGAAUACAGUUUGAAAAGCCAUCAUUCACGGGCCACAGAAAAGGGAUUUCAGCACAGACUCUUGGUAAACGUAAAAUCCCAAACAAGAAAUAAGACAAACAUCAUGACAAAAAGAAAAAGAAUCAUACCACACAAUAAAUCCAGAUUUUCAGUGUAAGCACUUGUAGGAGUAAACUCAUUCUUUUUUCCCUUUAAAUAAAUCUUAGUUUGCUUUCCAGAUUUACAAACGUGACCAUGAAGAAAUUCACAUUUUUGCAGUUUUGACUUCUGCAUGUCAUAUUCAGAGAAGUAUCAUAAAAGCUGGCCUACUAAAUUCAUUGUACACUGGUUUUAGUUUCCUUGCAGAUUUUCUUGUUCUGUACCUUCAGUAGUUUCCUGCCACUCAGCCAACACACAAGUAACUAACUGCUCAUGAGAUUACACUAUACUUACAGCUUUGUUGCUGUUUGAAAUGUAUUUUAUUUUCUUUAUAAAAUAAUGGGUAAUCUUUAAAAUUGAUUUUAGAUGGUUUGAGGCAUUACACCACAGAAGUAAUGAGCACUAAUGUCAAUGAUAUUGGACACAAAUUCAUUUUAGCUUUAUUUCAUGUCCAGUGCAAUUCUACUAAACCUUGAACUGCUGAAGCACUGUUAUUAACUUGCUGGUAACCUAACACAUGGGAACAGCAAACAAAAGUGAUAAGAGUACAGGUUGAUCAGGACCUCAAGGCUACUGUCCUUUUUCUGCAGCUAUAAUUCAAUUUCCAAUUUUACUUUACAUUGGACUCAUUAUUUCACAGUAAUUUUCUUUUCUGCUUAAUAGUGCCACCUGGAGGUUAAACAAGUGAAGAGAGAUUGAAAGGAAGAAUUAGAGAGAAAAGAUGUUCGUUAAACUAAUCAGAGAUAGUACAUCUCUGAGGGGGAAAAAAAACAUUUAUAUGCUUUGCAAAACUGGCUUGUAAGCAGAUAUAUGAGCACUCUUCACAUAGUUUAUGCCCUUGAAACUUCUCUUCUACCCUUUAAUUAAGGGAUAACAACUUUUGCCUUUUUUAUUCUGCUACCAGCAAGUUACAUUGCUUGAAGGAUGUAAUUAAAAAGCAAUCAAAAUGAAAAAUAAAGUGUAUGUGCGAUUAA